AUGGAGGAGGACCAUGGUGGAGGCCUUGUGAGAGAGGGAAGAGAUAUUUUGGCCGGGCCAUGGGGGCGGGCGCAUCCCGUGGGUACGCGCACGGGGGGACGCAUGGCAUUUCGCCCACCAACUUCCACCCCCGCUUUAUACCCCGCGCCUAUAAAGUUUCUGCCCACUGCGGCUCUGCUCACCCCGACGAUACCUUCCCCUCCCCUUCCUUCCUUUCCUUUCCCCCGCACCACCGCCGCGACGGCGACCCCCCAGCCGCACGCCGAAGCGAACCCCUCCGCCCCGACCGCGUCCGUCUAG
rnacentral:rRNA from 1 species